ACUCCGUUAAAUAUGAUCUAGAGUAUUUGAAACUUCUAGAAAAUAAAUUUUGUAAUUUUUCGAAAUCAUAAUAAAGUCCAUCAAGCGGGCAUAAAAUGAACGGUCAAAAUUAAACAACGUCCUAAAAAUGGAUGAUCGGAUCCUUCAAUUUAAAAUCAGAGUUAUUGAUCUUUAUCUAGGUAGUGAAUAGAAUUUUCUAUCAAAAAUUCAACCUAUUCCGAUUCUUUUCUACCGUUAAACUAGCAACAAGAAUCCCAUACCGGCCGUUAAAAAUUGUCAAUUUUGUGAGCUUUUGAUCGUAAAGUAAAUGAUGUUGAAAAAUUAUGAAAUUUGAUUUCUAGAAGUUUUAAAUGCUCUAGAUAACGUUUAACGGUGUGGAUCGUCGAUUCGGAAGUUCUAUCAUCGAAAAUAACUUAUGAGUACGAGGGCGAUCGUACUCAUAAGAGUAUAGUAGCCGAACUAUAUAUAUAUAUAUAUUGCUCCUAUGUUUUUAAAAAUACCAAGUCAUUGGUGCUUGUAAGUUUUUCGCCCUUGGAUUAAGGGUUGUGCUGUUAGGAUGAUGUAGGCCCCCUAGGGUUGAGUGGGUGGUUGGUUGAAUAGUAUGAUCUAACGGGUGAAAAUGAUUAAAAACGUAAAUUUAACGGUAAAAAAUUUACAAGCACUAAGUGCUUGGUGCUUUUAUAAGCAUCAUAGCCGGACUCUAUAUAUAUAU
rnacentral:lncRNA from 1 species